rnacentral:rRNA from 1 species
GAUGAACGCUGGCGGCGUGCUUAACACAUGCAAGUCGAACGAGAAGUGAAGACGGACCCCUUCGGGCGGAAGGCUUUAUUUCGAGUGGCGGACGGGUGAGUAACGCGUGGGUAACCUGCCUCAUACAGGGGGAUAACAGUUGGAAACGACUGUUAAUACCGCAUAAGACCACAGCACCGCAUGGUGCGGGGGUAAAAACUCCGGUGGUAUGAGAUGGACUCGCGUUCGAUUAGCCAGUUGGCGGGGUAACGGCCCACCAAAGCGACGAUCGAUAGCCGCUCUGUGAGGAUGACCGGAGACAGUGGGAGUGGGACACGGCCCAUACUCCUACGAGAGGCAGCAGAGGGGAAUAAUGCACAAUGGGGGAAACCCUGAUGCAGCGACGCCGCGUGAGUGAAGAAGUAUUUCGGUAUGUAAAGCUCUAUCAGCAGGGAAGAAAAUGACGGUACCUGAGGAAGAAGCCCCGGCUAACUACGUG